UGGGGAAUAUUGCGCAAUGGGCGAAAGCCUGACGCAGCGACGCCGCGUGAGGGAUGAAGGUUUUCGGAUCGUAAACCUCUGUCAGAAGGGAAGAAACCGCACUGUGCUAAUCAGCAGUGCCUUGACGGUACCUUCAAAGGAAGCACCGGCUAACUCCGUGCCAGCAGCCGCGGUAAUACGGAGGGUGCAAGCGUUAAUCGGAAUUACUGGGCGUAAAGCGCACGUAGGCUGCUUUGUAAGUCAGGGGUGAAAUCCCACGGCUCAACCGUGGAACUGCCUUUGAUACUGCUUAGCUUGAAUCCGGGAGAGGGUGGCGGAAUUCCAGGUAUAGGAGUGAAAUCCGUAGAUAUCUGGAGGAACAUCAGUGGCGAAGGCGGCCACCUGGACCGGUAUUGACGCUGAGGUGCGAAAGCGUGGGGAGCAAACAGG
rnacentral:rRNA from 1 species